rnacentral:rRNA from 1 species
AGUGAACGCUGGCGGUAGGCCUAACACAUGCAAGUCGAACGGCAGCACAGUAAGAGCUUGCUCUUACGGGUGGCGAGUGGCGGACGGGUGCGGAAUACAUCGGAAUCUACUUUUUCGUGGGGGAUAACGUAGGGAAACUUACGCUAAUACCGCAUACGACCUACGGGUGAAAGCAGGGGAUCUUCGGACCUUGCGCGAUUGAAUGAGCCGAUGUCGGAUUAGCUAGUUGGCGGGGUAAAGGCCCACCAAGGCGACGAUCCGUAGCUGGUCUGAGAGGAUGAUAAGCCACACUGGAACUGAGACACGGUCCAGACUCCUACGGGAGGCAGCAGUGGGGAAUAUUGGACAAUGGGCGCAAGCCUGAUCCAGCCAUACCGCGUGGGUGAAGAAGGCCUUCGGGUUGUAAAGCCCUUUUGUUGGGAAAGAAAAGCAGCAGGUUAAUACCCCGCUGUUCUGACGGUACCCAAAGAAUAAGCACCGGCUAACUUCGUG